AUAGAAUUAGCAGCCUCAUUUACUUGAUGUUGAUAUUCCACGUGGAUAACUGUGGUAAUUCUAGAGCUUAUACAUGCACCAAAGCUCCGAUCUCAUGACGAGCGCAUCUAUUAGACCAAAAACCAAUCGAGAAUAUUCGCCUCAAAACGAAUGCCUCGUAAAUUUGGUGACUCUGAAUAGCUUAUCUGAUCGCAUGGUCUCGCACCGGCGACGUAUCUAUCAAGUGUCUGCCUUAUCAACUUUCGAUGGUAGUUUAUAUGCCUACCAUGGUUGUAACGGGUAACGGAGAAUAAGGGUUCCACUCCGGAGAGGGAGCCUGAGAAACGGCUACCACAUCCAAGGAAGGCAGCAGGCGCGCAAAUUACCCACUCUCAGCACGAGGAGGUAGUGACGAAAAAUAACGAGACCGUUCUCUUCGAGGCCGGUUAUCGGAAUGAGUACAAUUUAAAGCCGUUAACGAGGAUCUAUGAGAGGGCAAGUCUGGUGCCAGCAGCCGCGGUAAUUCCAGCUCUCAAAGUGUAUAUCGUCAUUGCUGCGGUUAAAAAGCUCGUAGUUGGAUUUAAGCUCGAUGACUCGGUCCAUCCAUAAGAUGAGAACUGAGCUCAUCGGCUAUCAUCGGCUGGUUUUGUCUAGGUGGCUUUAAACGGUUGCCUAGGCUGGCUAGCAAGUUUACUUUGAAAAAAUUAGAGUGCUCAACGCGGGCUUAAUGCCUGAAUAGUCGUGCAUGGAAUAAUGGAAUAGGAUUUCGGUUCUAUUUUGUUGGUUUUUUUAACCGAUAUAUGGAUAGAGGGACAGACGGGGCUUCGUAUCGCUACAGAGAGUGAUAUUCUUGGACGUAGCGAGACGCCCGACUGCAUAGCAUUUGCUAUUAUUGUUUUACAUAAAUCAAAGAACGAAAGUCGAAGGUUCGGAUGCGAUCACAUCCGCCUUUAUUCUGACGUAAACAAUCCUACCUGCGUUCAGUCUGACGUAAAUACGCUUGGCGGUACUUCCAAGAAACUAUGCUUUCGGUUCAGGGUAGUAGAUGGCAAGCUGUAACUUUAAUGAACUGACGGAGGCCACCCUGAGUGACUUUGGCUUAAUUUUAUUACAAGCAAACUCACUGACUGGAACGUGGGAUAGCGAGUGCAGCUUUACUUGAUCGGGUGAGUCCCAUAGCCUUCAAUGGGAAGUCAUGUUCGGCUUAUCGAAGC
rnacentral:rRNA from 1 species